AUCAGUAUGGUACAGUGGUUUGAAUUUUGGACUAGAAAUCCAGGAGACCAGGUUUCAAAUCCCUGCUCAGCAUG